rnacentral:lncRNA from 1 species
AAGAAUGUAAGAGAAAAGUAUUCCUUACCUCAAUCUUUUCAUCCACAGCUGUAUUUCUACCCCCAAGAGCAGCCUUUCAGAAAGAAUGUGGAAAUGGACAGGAAUAUAAAGAUUUGUCUUAAAUUACUGCUUCAUUCUGCUAAAAUAGUUUGCCUGUGCCCUAAAAAAUAUUGUUUAAAAAAAGCUUUUCAAAAAGGAAUGCGGAAGCUGCAACAAGUAAAACAUUCUAGUAUUAAAAUCCUAAGAUCCCAGCUGUAGGUGCUGUUUCUUACAAUCAUUAUGAUUAUCCUUGCUUUGUGCCUUGACUCCUAGAGACAAAAUAUGGAAUAAUUAUGCCAGGGGAGCUAUAAUACUGUGGUUACCUCAAAUAAACCUUUUAGCACACUUGUGGUCACUUUUUAAGGCAGCUUUUUAAAAAAUAAGCCAAUAUAAAUCACAUCUCAAAAUCUUCACAAGGUCUACACAAUUUACUGGUAACAGAAAUGCCUUUGUAUCAGUAAAAGUUUUCAUUUCAGUAUUAAUUUAGCAGAAUGACAAGGUUCAGAUCAUGUCUAGUUUUUCUUGCUUUGAAAGCCUAAGCAUUAGUUCACUCAUAAGCCAAGUUAUCUCAUAACAAUGAAGAGACUCCAAAGGGUUCAGUAUAGGCAAUUCUUGACUUACAACUCUGAGGCCUGAAAACUAUUUCCAGUAACAAAAGGCUUCCAUAAUCCCCAAUGACCACACCAACACAAGUGUCUAGCAACUACCAUUAUGAAAAAAAAAUUGAUCUUUUAAAAGUUUUUGGACUAAAUCACUAAAAUUUGCAGUAAUCUUUUGUAAAAGGCUGGUCCUCUACAACUCAUUUUCCUUUCCCUGUGCCACAUUAAAUUCUAACAAACUGAACAUUUUGUUAGUUUAAAAAUGUGUCCUUGGGGCCGGGCACGGUGACUCACACCUGUAAUCCCAGCACUUUGGGAGGCUGAGGCAGGUAGAUCACGGGGUCAGGAGAUCAAGACCAUCCUGGCCAACAUAGUGAAACCCCAUCUCUACUUAAAAUACAAAAAUUAGCCGGGUGUGAUGGUAGGCACCUGUAGUCCCAGCUACUCAGGAGGCUUAGGCAGAAGAAUUGUUUGAACUCAGGAGGCAGAGGUUGCAGUGAGCCAAGAUCGUACCACUGCACUCCAGCCUGGGCGACAGAAUGAGACUCCGUCUCAAAAACAAAACAAAACAAAACAAAACAAACAAACAAAAAAAAAACAGGUGUCCUUGGAAAUGAAGACCAUUAUUCUAAGUGAAGUGACUCAGGAAUGUAAAACCAAAUACCCUAUGUUCUCACUUACAAGGGGGAGCUAAGCUAUGGGUAUGCAAAGGCAUACAGAGUAGUAUAAUAGACACUGGAGACUCAGAAGUGGGCAAAGUGAGAGCGGAAUGACGGACAAAAAAUAACAUGUUGUAACUACUACAAUAUGUAGUUACAACCUACAUUACUAGGUGAUGGGUGCACUAAAAUCUCAGAUUUCACCACUAUACAAUUCACCCAUGUUAACAAAAAACCAGCAGUCCCCUUAAAGGUAUAGGGGAUCUCUUUCAAGAGCUGUUACUCUAAGAGGUAGUAUAGUCCAUUUCUGAUUCAGUAGGACUACAUUUCUCACAUGUAACUAAGAGCAGACUCACUGAAGGCAAAAAAGAAAAAUUCAGAUUUUUGGCAGUGGGUGGAGGAAGACAUUAUAGAAAAUACAUUAAGUCUGAUGUGACAGGAGCACUGGGAUUAGGAAGCACAAAAAAAAAAAAAAAAAAAAA